AUCUUCUGUUUUCACACACAAUUUAUUCACACAUAUAUAUAUAUAUGCAAACGCCAUGGCUUCUCCUAACUUGCAUUCGAAUCCCAUUCGUAAACUCCAUCGUUUCUCUGCAAUUCUCAGCUUGGUUACCGGGUGAUGAGUCAAGAAAUGGGCAGUAAGUUAGAGGCGGGGCCUUAUGUUGCAGCUCCACCACCGGUUGGGUAUCCGGUGAGAGACGGCCCAGAGGAGCCUCGCCAAACUUCUACGCCACAAACGCAGUCUAGGGGAGAUGGGUUCUGGAAAGGAUGCUGUGCUGCGUUGUGUUGCUGCUGGGUGUUGGACUGUGUGUUCUAAGAGUGAUGAGACCCAUUUAUUUAUUUUUUGUUAUUCUUUUAUUACAUACGCCUUCUUAUCAUUGUGUAUUAUUCUCUUUUCUUUGUAUUAAUAAAUAAAUUUUGUUAUCUAA